rnacentral:rRNA from 1 species
UACAGAGGCCUCAAGCGUUGUUCGGAAUAACUGGGCGUAAAGGGUGCGCAGGUGGACCGGAUAGUCGCGCGUUAAAUGCCAUUGCUUCACAAUGAAUAUGCGUGCGAUACUUCCGGCCUAGAGCUAUGGAGAGGGGGUUGGAACUCACAAAGUAGCAGUGAAAUGCGUGGAUAUUGUGAAGAAGGCCAAGUGCGAAAGCAGACCCCUGGACAUAUGCUGACACUCAGGCACGAAGGCCAAGGUAGCAAACGGG